CUAAUACAGCAGGUUUGCUUCCUCCUUUCUGGUCUCUACACCAGAGGGCAUUUGCAGAAUGGGUGAUCUACACAUCGAGUGGAAUAGCAAGUGCAUUAUAUCAUGCAUGUGAUUCGAGUACCUGGUGUGCAUUAUCCUUUCAUGUUUUGCAGUUUAUGGACUUUUGGCUCUCUUUCAUGGCUGUAGUGACCACCUUUGUAUACCUCAAAUUGAUUGAUGAAGCCCUUAAAAGGGCAAUCCACACAGCUGCGGCUAUCAUUAAUUCCCUGAUGGCUGUAACGAAGACAACCAGCUAUAUGAAUAUGGCGACAUUUGUGCUAUUCUCAAUUUAUGACCCUGUUCUAGCAGCUACGGAAGAUAUUUGACCAAGCUAAGCUGUGCAGCACAUCCAAUAUUAUCCUUGUGCUGGCAAUCGGGGCAAUUGGUCUUCUUCUUGGGUGGAUGAUAGAGUUCUCUACCAAAUAUUGACCGCUUUCCUGUUCAACGAAUUUAUGUUUGAGCAGGCUCGAAAGAUGGCCGAGCACAGAAUGGGUGCUGAGUAUUGUAAACACUGUAAAGAAACAAUAUCGAUUGGAUUUCAUGUUUGCUGGUUUUAUUGGAUUAGCCAUGGCAGCACUAAGCUGGAACCUCGAAAGCAGUGAAACUUACUGGAUUUGGCACAGAUUGGAAUUCUUUCCCUUCUUUUUGGUAUAUAAAAUUGUUUUGAUUGCUCUCACUCUCUCAUAUUCGAUUGUAAAAUUUCCGUGCAGUAUAUGGCAUUUCACCAUAUUUUCGUGUUCUUUCUUCUUCCUCCAUUCAAAAGUAACAACCAUGAACAGCAGGAACAAAACACAGACCAACAGAAACUACCAGUUAACUCGGCAGGAUUCUUGCUCUCGAGGUGUAUAGGAAGAGGGAAGAAUUCUCAUAGAAUUGAAGGAAUAAGAAUGAAAUAAGUUAUUUUCUAGACAUGUAGGGUAACAUCUUCAUCUUCAUCUUCCA